rnacentral:rRNA from 1 species
AUGGACACGCCUGACCGCGCGGCGGCCCCGGCGGCGGCCAGGGCGGAGGACUCACCGCUUUUCAGCUUCAUCAACAGCUUGUCUCCGAUCGAGCCUCUCAAGUCUGCCUACUCCGGGAAUGGCCUCCAAGCAUACCAUCAGUCGCUCAACGUCACCUCCGUUUCCUCAAUCUUCACGUCCCCGCAUCACAAUGCACACAAGGAAUCAAAACUCUCCAAGAGCUCUUUCGCUGACUACACUGAAAACGAGCUUUGCAUGGAGGACGGCACCGAUAAAAACAAGUCACCCACUUCUUCAACGGCUGUUAGAUUGUUCGCCUGCACUAGCACCAUAACUCGAGAGAGCCACACGAUGAUUACCUGCUCAGUAAAUGAAGGCAUUGUUGAUCCUCCCAAAGGGCCUAAUGAUUUUCCUCAACCUGGUCGAUUCGAUUCUGGCAGUCCGGAUCACAACACAGCGCCUUGCCACGGUGUUAGUGUUAGGUCAGAUCUUAAACAGGACAAAUGUCCGAAAUUAGAAACAGUCCAAACCACUAAUAAUACUGUGGAGAAAAGGAAAUGUUUGUUUUCCAGUGACAUGCAGCUCCAGGAUGGUUGCCAGCCUGCAAAAGAAAAUAAUGAAGUUAUGGGAUGUGAAUGGGAGGACUUAGUUUCUGUCACUUCGGGCGAACUUUUGGCCUUUGACUCAUCAAUGGACCAACAUCACACAGGAGUUCAGCUGGCAGUUAAUAAUGCAGAAUCUUGUGGAUAUUUGCUAUCAAAACUUGCAGGAGGUGCUGACAUCUCUGAUAGAACACACCCCGCUACAUCCAGUCAAGCAUACUAUCAUGAGAUGGUAGUGGGAGAAGAUAAGACAGAAAAUGGCCAGCUCUUUCCUGAAGAUAAAAAAACAAUCUUAAGUGAAGAAAUACAGGAUAAUAUUAAUGAAGAGAAUGCAUGUAUUCCAUUAGGCUGCAAGGUUGAGACCCAACAACGAGGAGUUCGAAGACGCUGCCUUGUUUUUGAGGCAGCUGGGUAUUCACAUAGGACUGUGCAGAAAGAAUCUGUUGGGGAUUUGUCCUUCUCAACAUGCAAAGGCAAAAGUUCUGCCCAAAAUCACAGAAAUCCAGGAAAAACUCCAUCACCACAUGUAUUCCGUGGUAUUGGUCUUCAUUUGAAUGCUCUUGCCUUAACAUCAAAAGACAAAAUGGCUUGUCAGGACCCUUUGGCUACUGCCUUGGUUCCAUCACUGAAAACUGAACAGGACGUGCAUGGGAAUUUGCUGUCUGCUGGAGGAAAUUUUGUCCAUUCAGGUAGUGGUUUGUUAGACCUUCAGAUGGAUAAUGAUGAUUGCUCAGUUGGAGGUUUUCUUGGAAAUGAUCAUAAUUCAAGUCAAAGCAGCAGCCCCCCAAAGAAGAGGCGUAAAUCAGAUAAUGGCGACGAUGAUUCAUGCAAGCGUUGCAGCUGUAAAAAGUCAAAGUGCUUGAAACUUUAUUGUGAGUGCUUUGCUGCUGGCGUGUACUGUUCUGAACCUUGUUCAUGUCAAGGAUGCCUUAACAAGCCUAUACAUGAGGAAAUUGUUCUCUCCACUCGAAAGCAGAUAGAAUUCCGGAAUCCGCUGGCAUUUGCUCCAAAAGUGAUCCGCAUGUCUGAGGCUGGUCAGGAGACUCAGGAAGAUCCUAAAAACACUCCUGCUUCUGCUCGUCAUAAGAGAGGAUGCAAUUGCAAGAAGUCAAGCUGUCUCAAGAAGUACUGCGAAUGCUAUCAGGGAGGUGUUGGUUGCUCCAACAACUGCAGAUGCGAAACCUGCAAAAACACUUUUGGCACUAGAGAUGUUGCCGUAUCAGCUGAGAAUGAAGAAAUGAAGCAAGAAGGCGAUCAGACUGAAAGUUGUGAAAAAGAGAAGGAAAAUGACCAACAAAAGGCUAAUGUACACAGUGAAGAUCACAAACUGGUUGAGCUUGUCGUCCCAAUAACACCUCCUUUGGAUGUUUCCAGUUCUUUGCUCAAACAGCCAAACUUCUCUAAUGCAAAGCCACCUAGACCAUGUAAAGCCCGCAGCGGGAGUUCCUCUCGGUCUUCAAAAGCCUCUGAAACAGUUCAGUCUCGCAAAAUCUCGAAGGUUGGUGAUAGCGUGUUCAUUGAGGAAAUGCCUGAUAUUCUAAGGGAGCCUUCUUCUCCUGGCAUCGUGAAGACUUGUUCCCCUAAUGGAAAAAGAGUUUCACCGCCACAUAACGCGCUCAGCAUUUCACCAAACCGAAAGGGAGGGCGGAAGCUGAUACUGAAAUCCAUCCCCUCGUUUCCGUCACUUGCCGGAGACACGAACGGCGGGUCUGCAAUAUGCAGCUCCGACAGCGCAACAGCCCUUGCUCUAGGUCCAUCUUAA